UACGUAGGGUGCGAGCGUGUCCGGAAUUACUGGGCGUAAAGAGCUCGUAGGUGGUUUGUCGCGUUGUUCGUGAAAACUCACAACUCAAUUGUGGGCGUGCGGGCGAUACGGGCAGACUGGAGUACUGCAGGGGAGACUGGAAUUCCUGGUGUAGCGGUGGAAUGCGCAGAUAUCAGGAGGAACACCGGUGGCGAAGGCGGGUCUCUGGGCAGUGAACUGACGCUGAGGAGCGAAAGCGUGGGGAGCGAACAGG
rnacentral:rRNA from 1 species